rnacentral:rRNA from 1 species
NUCCGCAUGGGGGAAUCAUGAAACANGGGGCAACNUGUGGCUUACGGAUGGGCCUGNGGCGCAUUAGNUAGUUGGUGGGGUAACGGCCCACCAAGGNGACGAUGCGUAGCCGACCUGAGAGGUGAUCGGCCACACUGGGANUGAGACACGGCCCAGACUCAUACGGGAGGCAGCAGUAGGGAAUNUUCCGCAAUGGGCGCAAGCCUGACGGAGCAACGCCGCGUGAGUGAUGAAGGUUUUCGGAUCGUAAAGCUCUGUUGCCAAGGAAGAACGCCUCGGAGAGUAACUGCUCUGAGGGUGACGGUACUUGAGAAGAAAGCCCCGGCUAACUACGUGCCAGCAGCCGCGGUAAUACGUAGGGGGCAAGCGUUGUCCGGAAUUAUUGGGCGUAAAGCGCGCGCAGGCGGUCUUUUAAGUUUGGUGUUUAAGCCCGGGGCUCAACCCCGGUUCGCACUGAAAACUGGGAGACUUGAGUGCAGGAGAGGAAAGCGGAAUUCCACGUGUANCGGUGAAAUGCGUACAGAUGUGGAGGAACACCACUGGCGAAGGCGGCUUUCUGGACUGUAACUGACGCUGAGGCGCCAAAGCGUUGGGGAGCANACANGGAUUANAUNCCCUGGGUAGUCCACGCCCCUNCAACNAAUCAAUUGCUNNNGUGUUANGGGUUUCCAUACCCCUU